rnacentral:rRNA from 1 species
GGUCCAGACUCCUACGGGAGGCAGCAGUAGGGAAUCUUCCGCAAUGGGCGAAAGCCUGACGGAGCAACGCCGCGUGAGUGAUGAAGGUCUUCGGAUCGUAAAACUCUGUUAUUAGGGAAGAACAUAUGUGUAAGUAACUGUGCACAUCUUGACGGUACCUAAUCAGAAAGCCACGGCUAACUACGUGCCAGCAGCCGCGGUAAUACGUAGGUGGCAAGCGUUAUCCGGAAUUAUUGGGCGUAAAGCGCGCGUAGGCGGUUUUUUAAGUCUGAUGUGAAAGCCCACGGCUCAACCGUGGAGGGUCAUUGGAAACUGGAAAACUUGAGUGCAGAAGAGGAAAGUGGAAUUCCAUGUGUAGCGGUGAAAUGCGCAGAGAUAUGGAGGAACACCAGUGGCGAAGGCGACUUUCUGGUCUGUA